UACAGAGGGUGCAAGCGUUGUUCGGAAUUAUUGGCGUAAAGCGCGUGUAGGCGGCUUGCAAGUCGGGUGUGAAAGCCUCGGCUCAACCGAGGAAGUGCGCCCGAAACUGCAGAGCUUGAGUACCGGAGAGGAUGGCGGUAAUUCCCCGAAGUAGAGGUAGAAAUUCGUAGAUAUGGGGAGGAACACCGGUGGCGAAGGCGGCCAUCUGGACGGAUACUGACGCUGAGAAGCGAAAGCAUGGGGAGCGAACAGG
rnacentral:rRNA from 1 species